AUUGAACGCUGGCGGCAGGCUUAACACAUGCAAGUCGAGCGAGCGGCGGACGGGUGAGUAAUGUCUGGGAAACUGCCUGAUGGAGGGGGAUAACUACUGGAAACGGUAGCUAAUACCGCAUACCAUCAGAUGUGCCCAGAUGGGAUUAGCUAGUAGGUGGGGUAAUGGCUCACCUAGGCGACGAUCCCUAGCUGUUCUGAGAGGAUGACCAGCCACACUGGAACUGAUACACGGCCCAGACUCCUACGGGAGGCAGCAGUGGGGAAUCUUGGGCAAUGGGCGAAAGCCUGACCGAGCCAUGCCGCGUGAGUGAAGAAGGUUUUCGGGUCGUAAAACUCUGUUAUUGGGGAAGCGGUAUCUGACGAGGAAGCAACGGCUAACUACGUGCCAGCAGCCGCGGUAAUAC
rnacentral:rRNA from 1 species